UUGAUCCUAUGAGUUAGCGGCGGACGGGUGAGUAACACGUGGGUAACCUGCCCAUAAGACUGGGAUAACUCCGGGAAACCGGGGCUAAUACCGGAUAACAUUUUGAACCGCAUGGUUCGAAAUUGAAAGGCGGCUUCGGCUGUCACUUAUGGAUGGACCCGCGUCGCAUUAGCUAGUUGGUGAGGUAACGGCUCACCAAGGCAACGAUGCGUAGCCGACCUGAGAGGGUGAUCGGCCACACUGGGACUGAGACACGGCCCAGACUCCUACGGGAGGCAGCAGUAGGGAAUCUUCCGCAAUGGACGAAAGUCUGACGGAGCAACGCCGCGUGAGUGAUGAAGGCUUUCGGGUCGUAAAACUCUGUUGUUAGGGAAGAACAAGUGCUAGUUGAAUAAGCUGGCACCUUGACGGUACCUAACCAGAAAGCCACGGCUAACUACGUGCCAGCAGCCGCGGUAAUACGUAGGGGGCAAACGUUAUCCGGAAUUAUUGGGCGUAAAGCGCGCGCAGGUGAUUUCUUAAGUCUGAUGUGAUAGCGCACGGGCUCAACCGGGGAGGGACAUUGGGGGGGUGGCAGACUUGACUGUAGAAGGAGGGAAAGUGGUAAUUGCGUGGGGGAGCCGGGGGAAAUGCG
rnacentral:rRNA from 1 species